GAUGAACGCUGGCGGCGUGCCUAAUACAUGCAAGUCGAGCGAACGGACGAGAAGCUUGCUUCUCUGAUGUUAGCGGCGGACGGGUGAGUAACACGUGGAUAACCUACCUAUAAGACUGGGAUAACUUCGGGAAACCGUAGCUAAUACCGGAUAAUAUUUUGAACCGCAUGGUUCAAAAGUGAAAGACGGUCUUGCUGUCACUUAUAGAUGGAUCCGCGCUGCAUUAGCUAGUUGGUAAGGUAACGGCUUACCAAGGCAACGAUGCAUAGCCGACCUGAGAGGGUGAUCGGCCACACUGGAACUGAGACACGGUCCAGACUCCUACGGGAGGCAGCAGUAGGGGAUCUUCCGCAAUGGGCGAAAGCCUGACGGAGCAACGCCGCGUGAGUGAUGAAGGUCUUCGGAUCGUAAAACUCUGUUAUUAGGGAAGAACAUAUGUGUAAGUAACUGUGCACAUCUUGACGGUACCUAAUCAGAAAGCCACGGCUAACUACGUGCCAGCAGCCGCGGUAAUACGUAGGUGGCAAGCGUUAUCCGGAAUUAUUGGGCGUAAAGCGCGCGUAGGCGGUUUUUUAAGUCUGAUGUGAAAGCCCACGGCUCAACCGUGGAGGGUCAUUGGAAACUGGAAAACUUGAGUGCAGAAGAGGAAAGUGGAAUUCCAUGUGUAGCGGUGAAAUGCGCAGAGAUAUGGAGGAACACCAGUGGCGAAGGCGACUUUCUGGUCUGUAACUGACGCUGAUGUGCGAAAGCGUGGGGAUCAAACAGGAUUAGAUACCCUGGUAGUCCACGCCGUAAACGAUGAGUGCUAAGUGUUAGGGGGUUUCCGCCCCUUAGUGCUGCAGCUAACGCAUUAAGCACUCCGCCUGGGGAGUACGACCGCAAGGUUGAAACUCAAAGGAAUUGACGGGGACCCGCACAAGCGGUGGAGCAUGUGGUUUAAUUCGAAGCAACGCGAAGAACCUUACCAAAUCUUGACAUCCUUUGACAACUCUAGAGAUAGAGCCUUCCCCUUCGGGGGACAAAGUGACAGGUGGUGCAUGGUUGUCGUCAGCUCGUGUCGUGAGAUGUUGGGUUAAGUCCCGCAACGAGCGCAACCCUUAAGCUUAGUUGCCAUCAUUAAGUUGGGCACUCUAAGUUGACUGCCGGUGACAAACCGGAGGAAGGUGGGGAUGACGUCAAAUCAUCAUGCCCCUUAUGAUUUGGGCUACACACGUGCUACAAUGGACAAUACAAAGGGCAGCGAAACCGCGAGGUCAAGCAAAUCCCAUAAAGUUGUUCUCAGUUCGGAUUGUAGUCUGCAACUCGACUACAUGAAGCUGGAAUCGCUAGUAAUCGUAGAUCAGCAUGCUACGGUGAAUACGUUCCCGGGUCU
rnacentral:rRNA from 1 species